AUUGAACGCUGGCGGCAGGCUUAACACAUGCAAGUCGAGCGGAGAUGAGGUGCUUGCACCUUAUCUUAGCGGCGGACGGGUGAGUAAUGCUUAGGAAUCUGCCUAUUAGUGGGGGACAACAUUCCGAAAGGAAUGCUAAUACCGCAUACGUCCUACGGGAGAAAGCAGGGGAUCUUCGGACCUUGAGCUAAUAGAUGAGCCUAAGUCGGAUUAGCUAGUUGGUGGGGUAAAGGCCUACCAAGGGGAGGAUCUGUGGGGGGUGUGGAAGGAUGAUCCGCCAAACUGGAACGGAGAAACGGCCCGGACUCCUACGGGAGGCAGCAUUGGGGAAUAUUGGACAAUGGGGGAACCCUGAUCCAGCCAUGCCGCGUGUGUGAAGAAGGCCUUAUGGUUGUAAAGCACUUUAAGCGAGGAGGAGGCUACUGAGACUAACACUCUUGGAUAGUGGACGUUACUCGCAGAAUAAGCACCGGCUAACUCUGUGCCAGCAGCCGCAGUAAAAC
rnacentral:rRNA from 1 species